rnacentral:lncRNA from 1 species
CCCUGCUCUCUGGGCUCCACAUCACCUGACUUGCUGCUCCACCACUCCGCUUGUCUCCUGGGUACUCCAUCCCAUAGAGAUGUGAGUUAGCAAUCACUUAGAGUAAUCAGCCCAGGAUGGAGGGUCUGUGUUGUGAGGCCAAGCCAGUGUUCCCUCUCUGGUGAUGAGCAGUGGGGGGGUGGCUUUUAGGAGGGCAAGGGACUUCCUGAAACAGUGCAUCUCACAAUAUUUGGAAUGACUAUUGAAAAGAAGAACAUUGUACAAUCAAAGUCCUUGGCAACAUUGUAGAACUAGCGGGUGCUGACCCCUGAGCCACAACCACAGUUCUGGGUUUGGGGUUUGGUAAAACCACCCCAAGGACAGAGUUCUGGGGCCGGGUUUUGGAGGAACCAAGACGCCUCCCAGGGAUGGUGUGUCACUCCUGCUUGCCAUGAAAUGUGCACACAGUCUGUCCCCCUGCCCAUC